rnacentral:rRNA from 1 species
GACGAACGCUGGCGGCGUGCUUAACACAUGCAAGUCGAACGCUGAAGCUCAGCUUUUGUUGGGUGGAUGAGUGGCGAACGGGUGAGUAACACGUGGGUAACCUGCCCCCUUCUUUGGGAUAACGCCCGGAAACGGGUGCUAAUACUGGAUAUUCACUGGUCUUCGCAUGGGGGUUGGUGGAAAGGGUUUUUCUGGUGGGGGAUGGGCUCGCGGCCUAUCAGCUUGUUGGUGGGGUGAUGGCCUACCAAGGCUUUGACGGGUAGCCGGCCUGAGAGGGUGACCGGUCACAUUGGGACUGAGAUACGGCCCAGACUCCUACGGGAGGCAGCAGUGGGGAAUAUUGCACAAUGGGCGCAAGCCUGAUGCAGCGACGCCGCGUGAGGGAUGGAGGCCGUCGGGUUGUGAACCUCUUUCGCUAAUGGUCAAGCCGCAACAAUGGUUGUGGUGAGGGUAGUGGGUAAAGAAGCGCCGGCUAACUACGUG